AACGAACGCUGGCGGCAUGCCUAACACAUGCAAGUCGAACGAGACCUUCGGGUCUAGUGGCGCACGGGUGCGUAACGCGUGGGAAACCGCCCUUAGGUUCGGAAUAACACCCCGAAAGGGGUGCUAAUACCGGGGAAUGUCUUCGGACCAAAGUUUUAUCGGCUUUGGAUGGGCCCGCGUUGGAUUAGCUAGUUGGUAGGGUCACAGCCUACCGAGGCGACGUUCCAUAGCUGGUCUGAGCGGCUGCUCCGCCACACGGGGGCUGCGACACGGCCCAGUCUCCUACGGGAGGCUGCAGUGGGGUAUACUGGGCGCUGGACGAUAGCCUGAUCCAGCAAUGCCGCGUGUGUGAUGCAGGCCUUAGGGUUGUACAUCUCUUUUACCCGAGGUGAUAAUGACAGUACCGGGAGAAUAAGCUCCGGCUAACUCCGUG
rnacentral:rRNA from 1 species